rnacentral:rRNA from 1 species
AUUGAACGCUGGCGGCAGGCCUAACACAUGCAAGUCGAACGAGUGGCGGACGGGUGAGUAAUGUCUGGGCAACUGCCCGAUGGAGGGAGAUAACUACUGGAAACGGUAGCUAAUACCGCAUACCAUCGGAUGUGCCCAGAUGGGAUUAGCUAGUAGGUGGGGUAACGGCGCACCUAGUCGACGAUCCCUAGCUGGUCUGAGCGGAUGACCAGCCACACUGGAACUGAGACACGGGCCAGACUCCGACGGGAGGCAGCAGUGGGGAAUAUUGCGCAAUGGGCGAAAGACUGAUGCAGCCAUGCCGCGUGUAUGAAGAAGGCCUUAGGGUUGUAAAGUACUUUCAGAGAAGAGGCGUUACUCGCAGAAGAAGCACCGGCUAACUCCGUGCCAGCAGCCGCGGUAAUUC